rnacentral:rRNA from 1 species
GAUGAACGCUGGCGGCGUGCUUAACACAUGCAAGUCGAACGAUGAAGCCCAGCUUGCUGGGUGGAUUAGUGGCGAACGGGUGAGUAACACGUGAGUAACCUGCCCUUAACUCUGGGAUAUGCCUGGGAAACUGGGUCUAAUACCGGAUAGGAGCGUCCACCGCAUGGUGGGUGUUGGAAAGAUUUAUCGGUUUUGGAUGGACUCGCGGCCUAUCAGCUUGUUGGUGAGGUAAUGUAUAACCAAGGCGACGACGGGUAGCCUGCCUGAGAGGGUGACCGGCCACACUGGGACUGAGACACGGCCCAGACUCCUACGGGAGGCAGCAGUGGGGAAUAUUGCACAAUGGGCGAAAGCCUGAUGCAGCGACGCCGCGUGAGGGAUGACGGCCUUCGGGUUGUAAACCUCUUUCAGUAGGGAAGAAGCGAAAGUGACGGUACCUGCAGAAGAAGCACCGGCUAACUACGUG